rnacentral:rRNA from 1 species
CAAUAGCGUAUAUUAAAGCUGUUGCGGUUAAAAAGCUCGUAGUUGGAUUUCUGUCAAGUACAACUGGUCCGCCCUCCGGGUGAGCACAUAGUUUGGUCUUGGCAUCUUGCUGGAAAUUGUUGCUGCACUUGGCUGUGUGGCGCAGUGUCCAGCACUUUCACUUUGAGGAAAUUGGAGUGUUUCAAGCAGGCAAUGCCUUUGAACACAGUAGCAUGGAAUAAUUAGAUUGGGCUUUUGCUCCAAUUUGUCGGUUUCUGGAGCUGAGGUGAGAAUUAAUGGGGAUUGUUGGGGGCAUCCGAAUUUAGCCGUCAGAGGUGAAAUUCUUGGAUCGGCUAAAGACGGACAACUGCGAAAGCAUUUGCCAAGGAUGUUUUCAUUGA